AAGUCGUAACAAGGUUUCCGUAGGUGAACCUGCGGAAGGAUCAUUAAAAAAAUGUCGUCUCGAUCUUGUUCCCUUUGUUGGGGGGGGCGAGGUUGCAGAUGAUUUGCAUUCCUAUCUUGUGUGCACUUGUUAGCCGUUAGCUGGCGUAAGGCUUUGCGAGGGAAAGAAAGGGGGAUGGGGUGGGGUUUGUCUCCACCGCCCAUCUUAUUUUCCGUUUCGUAAAGCAGCCAGCGUUGUUCCGCGGGGAGACUUGCGGAGCAACGCCUUGAUAAUCAAACUCAGUUAUUACUGCGACAGUUUUUUUCGUUUCAUUCAUUGAUCCCUGUGGAUCGAGAAUCAUACGAUACAACUUUUGGCAACGGAUCUCUAGGCUCU
rnacentral:misc_RNA from 1 species